rnacentral:rRNA from 1 species
AGCUUGUUGGUAGGGUAAUGGCCUACCAAGGCUAUGAUGGUUAGCUGGUCUGAGAGGAUGAUCAGCCACACUGGAACAGAUAUAUGGUCCAGACUCCUACGGGAGGUAGCAGUGAGGAAUUUUGCGUAAUGGGGGAAACCCUGACGCAGCAACGCCGCGUGAGUGAUGAAGGCUUUCGGGUCGUAAAGCUCUGUCAAGUGGGAAGAAUCCAUAUGGUGUUAAUAUCACCAUAUGCUGAUGGUACCACUGAAGGAAGCACCGGCUAAUUCCGUGCCAGUAGUUGUGGUAAUACGGGGGGUGCGAGUGUUAUUCGGAAUUACUGGGCGUAAAGAGCGCGUAGGCGGUCUUUUAAGUCAGGUGUGAAAGUCCGGGGUUUAAUUUUGGAAGUGCACUUGAAAUUAAGAGACUUGAGUAUGGGAGAGGGAAGUGGAAUUCCUGGUGUAGUGGUGAAAUGUGUAGAUAUCAGGAGGAACAUUAGUGGUGAAGGUGACUUCCUGGACCAAUACUGACGCUGAGGCGCGAAGGCGUGGGGAGUAAAUAGGAUUAGAUAUCUUGGUAGUUUACGUAGUAAACGGUGAACACUAGGUGUAGCGGGUAUUGAUUCCUGCUGUGCCGCAGCAAAUGUAUUAAGUGUUCCGCCUGGGCAGUACGGCCGCAAGGUUAAAACUCAAAGGAAUUGACGGGGGCCCGCACAAGCGGUGGAGCAUGUGGUUUAAUUCGACGCAACGCGAAGAACCUUACCUAGGUUUGACAUCCCGGGAAUUUUGUGGAAACACGAAAGUGCCCUUCGGGGAGCCCGGUGACAGGUGCUGCAUGGCUGUCGUCAGCUCGUGUCGUGAGAUGUUGGGUUAAGUCCCGUAAUGAGCGCAACCCCUCUCUUUAGAUAUCAGCAUUUAGUUGGGGACUCUAAAGAUACUGCCCCGGUUAACGGGGAGGAAGGUGGGGAUGACGUCAAGUCCUCAUGGCCUUUAUGCUUAGGGCUACACACGUGCUACAAUGGACUGUAUAAAGGGUUGUUAGCCCGCGAGGGUGAGCCAAUCUUAGAAAGCAGUUCGUAGUUCGGAUUGGAGUCUGCAAUUUGACUCCAUGAAGUUGGAAUCGCUAGUAAUCGUGGAUUAGAAUGCCACGGUGAAUACGUUCCCGGGCCUUGUAUAUACCGCCCGUCACACCAUGAGAGUUGGUUGUACCAGAAGUCGCUGGGCAAACCUUUUGAGGGUGCAGGCGCCUAAGGUAUGGCUGAUGAUUGGGGUGAAGUUGAAAUAAGGUA